rnacentral:rRNA from 1 species
UACAGAGGUGGCAAGCGUUGUUCGGAAUUACUGGGCGUAAAGGGCGCGUAGGCGGCCUUCUAAGUCAGACGUGAAAUCCCCAGGCUUAACUUGGGAACUGCGUCUGAUACUGGGAGGCUUGAGUGCGGGAGAGGGAUGUGGAAUUCCAGGUGUAGCGGUGAAAUGCGUAGAUAUCUGGAGGAACACCGGUGGCGAAGGCGGCAUCCUGGACCGACACUGACGCUGAGGCGCGAAAGCGUGGGGAGCAAACAGGAUAGAAACCCC